AAGAGUUAGGGUCCUCUGGGCCCGACCUCCCAACCCUUUGUUUACUGAACCUCUGUUGCUUCGGCGGACCCGCCUCACGGCCGCCGGAGGAUCGCCCGCAGGCGUCCUCUGGCCAGCGCCCGCCGACAGCCACUCUCAAAACUCUUGAAUAAAUCAUGUCAUUGUCUAAGUUAUGAUGCAAAUCAAUAAAGCA
rnacentral:misc_RNA from 1 species